AUAAAAGCCUUGAUGGGAAGAGUAAUUAUUACGAGGUAGUCAAAGCGAAUCAGUAAUGGUGAGAGACUGAUACGAAACUAAUAAUGAAGAACAUCCCGGAGCUUCCAAACGAAAUUUAUUAAGAGUAGUCUUGGACGGAGCCAAACCGUUAUAGCUUGGACAGUAUCGAAUUUAUUUAGUUAAUUCCGUACUGAUUAAAGUGAGCUUUUUUAAGCUAAUUUAGGUGGUACCACGGAAGUUUAAGUCUUUCGUCCUAUGU
rnacentral:ncRNA from 1 species